rnacentral:rRNA from 1 species
AGUGAACGCUGGCGGUAGGCCUAACACAUGCAAGUCGAACGGCAGCACAGUAAGAGCUUGCUCUUAGGGGUGGCGGGGGGCGGCGGGGGGGGGAAUACAUCGAAUCCUCUUUUUUCUGGGGGAUUAACGAGGGAAACCUACGCUUAUUCCGCCAUACACCCACCGGGGGAAGGCAGGGGUCCUUCGAACUUUCGCGGUUUGAUUAAGCGAUGUCGGAUUAGCUAGUUGGCGGGGUAAAGGCCCACCAAGGCGACGAUCCGUAGCUGGUCUGAGAGGAUGAUCAGCCACACUGGAACUGAGACACGGUCCAGACUCCUACGGGAGGCAGCAGUGGGGAAUAUUGGACAAUGGGCGCAAGCCUGAUCCAGCCAUACCGCGUGGGUGAAGAAGGCCUUCGGGUUGUAAAGCCCUUUUGUUGGGAAAGAAAAGCAGCAGGUUAAUACCCCGCUGUUCUGACGGUACCCAAAGAAUAAGCACCGGCUAACUUCGUG